rnacentral:tRNA from 1 species
CGCAACGUAGCUCAGCUGGAAAGAGCGCCCUUGCUUCAAUGUAGAUCGUGCCGGCAAGCGGAUCGUACAGGCGGGGAGGUCGGAAGUUCAAGUCUUCUCGUUGCGACCU